rnacentral:rRNA from 1 species
UACGUAGGUGGCGAGCGUUGUCCGGAUUUACUGGGCGUAAAGGGAGCGUAGGCGGACUUUUAAGUGAGAUGUGAAAUACUCGGGCUCAACUUGAGUGCUGCGUUUUAAACUGGAAGUCUAGAGUGCAGGAGAGGAGAAUGGAAUUCCUAGUGUAGCGGUGAAAUGCGUAGAGAUUAGGAAGAACACCAGUGGCGAAGGCGAUUCUCUGGACUGUAACUGACGCUGAGGCUCGAAAGCGUGGGGAGCAAACAGG